rnacentral:rRNA from 1 species
GACGAACGCUGGCGGCGUGCCUAAUACAUGCAAGUCGAGCGAACAGAGGAGAAGUUUGUUCCUCGGAUGUUUGCCGAGGACGGGAGUGAAACGUGGGGAUAAUGCCUGUAAAAGACGGGGAAAACUUCGGGACACUGGCGAUAACACCAGAUAAUAUAAUGAACCAUAACAUUUACUAAAAAAAGGCAAUUGUGCUACUACCUAUUGGAGGUGCCUCGCAUCAUUAGCUUGGUGGUAAGGUAACGGCUUACCAAGGCAACGCUGCGUAGCCGACCUGGGAGGGUGAUCGGCCACACUGGAACGGGGACACGGUCCAGACUCCUACGGGAGGCAGCAGUAGGGAAUCUUCCGCAAUGGGCGAAAGCCUGACGGAGCAACGCCGCGUGAGUGAUGAAGGUCUUCGGAUCGUAAAACUCUGUUAUUAGGGAAGAACAAAUGUGUAAGUAACUAUGCACGUCUUGACGGUACCUAAUCAGAAAGCCACGGCUAACUACGUG